UACGUAGGGGGCAAGCGUUGUCCGGAUUUAUUGGGCGUAAAGAGCUCGUAGGCGGCUCACUAAGUCGGAUGUGAAAACUCCAGGCUCAACCUGGAGACGCCAUUCGAUACUGGUGUGGCUUGAGUUCGGUAGGGGAGCACGGAAUUCCUGGUGUAGCGGUGAAAUGACGCAGAUAUCAGGAGGAACACCGGUGGCGAAGGCGGAUCUCUGGGCCUUACCUGACGCUGAGGCGCGAAAGCUAGGGGAGCAAACAGG
rnacentral:rRNA from 1 species